UACGGAGGGUGCGAGCGUUGUCCGGAAUCACUGGGCGUAAAGGGCGCGUAGGCGGCUUUUUAAGGGUGCGGUGAAAGCCCGGGGCUUAACCCCGGGUCGGCCGUGCCGACUGAAAGGCUGGAGCACUGUAGAGGCAGGUGGAAUUCCGGGUGUAGCGGUGGAAUGCGUAGAGAUCCGGAAGAACACCAGUGGCGAAGGCGGCCUGCUGGGCAGUUGCUGACGCUGAGGCGCGACAGCGUGGGGAGCAAACAGG
rnacentral:rRNA from 1 species